GAGCUGCCACCGACUGCGGAGGUGUUCCGUGUCCCCGAGCUGGAGCCGACUACGGAGGUGUUCCGUGUCCCCGAGCCGCCGACGGCGACAACCGCGGAGGUGUUCCGUGUCCCCGAGCUGCCGCCGCCGACCCCGGAGGUUUCCCGUGUCCCCGAGCCUGCCAUUCUAGAGACGUUCCGUGCCCUGCAGUCGCCGCUCCGGAGCCGGCUUGGUGACCGCCCGCCGGGCCGACCCCCAGAGGCUCCCCGCUCGUCUGGCCACCCGCCGGGCCGCCCGCCAGAGUUUCCCGGGUGGUCCGACCAACGUCUCUGGUUUCCCUGCCCCCCCACCCUUUGUUUUGCUCUAGUGUGAGCCGCCUGGAAGUCGGUCCUUGAGGGGGGGGUACUGUCACGGUGUGGUUCACUUCCUGUUUUAUUUUGUAGUUUUCUGCCACUCGUGUCCCCGGGUAACUUCACUUCCUGCCUUGUCUCGUCAUCCCCUGUGUUCGUCUAAUAGUUUCCACCUGUGUUCCAAUCACCUGCACCUCCCUUGUGUAUUUAAGCCAUGUAUCUCCUGUGUCACUUGUCGCGUCAUUGUCUUUCGCCACGCAUGUCCUUGUCUUUUGUCACACAUGUUGCCUGCUGCGUUUCCUCCCGGUUCCUGUGUUUUUGAACAUUGACUAUUAAAGUCCUUUGUGUUUCCUGAACACUCUGCGUUUGAGUCCUGCCUUCCACCCGC
ensembl:lncRNA